ensembl:snRNA U6 U6 spliceosomal RNA
AUGCUCACUAUGGCAGCAUAUAUACUAAAAUUGGAAUGACACAGAGAUCAGCAUGAGCCCUGUGCAAGGAUGACAUGCAAAUGCAUGAAGCAUGCCAUGAAAAA